rnacentral:rRNA from 1 species
AUUGAACGCUGGCGGCAUGCCUUACACAUGCAAGUCGAACGGUAACAGGUCUUCGGAUGCUGACGAGUGGCGAACGGGUGAGUAAUACAUCGGAACGUGCCCGAUCGUGGGGGAUAACGAGGCGAAAGCUUUGCUAAUACCGCAUACGAUCUACGGAUGAAAGCGGGGGAUCUUCGGACCUCGCGCGGACGGAGCGGCCGAUGGCAGAUUAGGUAGUUGGUGGGAUAAAAGCUUACCAAGCCGACGAUCUGUAGCUGGUCUGAGAGGAUGAUCAGCCACACUGGGACUGAGACACGGCCCAGACUCCUACGGGAGGCAGCAGUGGGGAAUUUUGGACAAUGGGCGAAAGCCUGAUCCAGCCAUGCCGCGUGCAGGAUGAAGGCCUUUGGGUUGUAAACUGCUUUUGUACGGAACGAAAAGCCUCUUUCUAAUAAAGAGGGGUCAUGACGGUACCGUAUGAAUAAGCACCGGCUAACUACGUG